rnacentral:rRNA from 1 species
CCUACGGGUGACAGCAGUGGGGAAUAUUGCACAAUGGGCGAAACCCUGAUCCAGCGACGCCGCGUGAGUGAAGAAGUAUUUCGGUACGUAAAGCUCUAUCAGCAGGGAAGAAAAAAAGUCCUUUGGUCUUUGGACGGUACCUGACUAAGAAGCACCGGCUAACUACGUGCCAGCAGCCGCGGUGAUACGUAGGGGGCAAGCGUAAUACGGAUGUAAUGGGUGUAAAGGGAGCGUAGACGGCAGGGCAAGUCUGGAGUGAAAUGCCGGGGCCCAACCCCGGAACUGCUUUUGAAACUGUGCAGCUGGAGUGCAGGAGAGGUAGGCGGAAUGCGUAGUGUAGCGGUGAAAUGCGUAGAUAUUA